ensembl:lncRNA
CAAGGAGGAAGGAUCUCUGUCUGGAGUUCCCCCUUGCUGGAGCCCUUCUGCGCGCCCAGGAUACGGGCCAAGCCCCAGGGGCUGCUAGGGCAAUGUCCUCACUUGGAGGGGGCGGCUGGGUUUCCCAUCUGAGGGCUUCAUGCACAAAGAGCAAGGAAAACUCAGACACAGAGCAAGCCUAAGCAAAAGCACGACUUUUCGGAGAUGCUGUCUCAAGCUCCCUGUGCUCACCCUGAGCUCUUUUUUCCUACGAGCUCCCUGCUGGCCCCGGAGGAGUCCGAGUGCUCUGUGCUGGAAGAAGAGGAGUCGAGGCUGCUGGAGACAUCAGGG